rnacentral:rRNA from 1 species
AGCGGUAACAGAUCCAGCUUGCUGGAUGCUGACGAGCGGCGGACGGGUGAGUAAUGCAUAGGAAUCUGCCCGAUAGUGGGGGAUAACCUGGGGAAACCCAGGCUAAUACCGCAUACGUCCUACGGGAGAAAGGGGGCUCCGGCUCCCGCUAUGGGAUGAGCCUAUGUCGGAUUAGCUAGUUGGUGAGGUAACGGCUCACCAAGGCCACGAUCCGUAGCUGGUCUGAGAGGAUGAUCAGCCACAUCGGGACUGAGACACGGCCCGAACUCCUACGGGAGGCAGCAGUGGGGAAUAUUGGACAAUGGGGGAAACCCUGAUCCAGCCAUGCCGCGUGUGUGAAGAAGGCCCUCGGGUUGUAAAGCACUUUCAGCGAGGAAGAACGCCUAGCGGUUAAUACCCGCUAGGAAAGACAUCACUCGCAGAAGAAGCACCGGCUAACUCCGUGCCAGCAGCCGCGGUAAUACGGAGGGUGCAAGCGUUAAUCGGAAUUACUGGGCGUAAAGCGCGCGUAGGUGGCUUGAUAAGCCGGUUGUGAAAGCCCCGGGCUCAACCUGGGAACGGCAUCCGGAACUGUCAAGCUAGAGUGCAGGAGAGGAAGGUAGAAUUCCCGGUGUAGCGGUGAAAUGCGUAGAGAUCGGGAGGAAUACCAGUGGCGAAGGCGGCCUUCUGGACUGACACUGACACUGAGGUGCGAAAGCGUGGGUAGCAAACAGGAUUAGAUACCCUGGUAGUCCACGCCGUAAACGAUGUCGACCAGCCGUUGGGUGCCUAGCGCACUUUGUGGCGAAGUUAACGCGAUA